GUGGCAGCAGGCCCUGGACUUCUGUACUGCACACAGCCCUGAGGCUGGAUGGCAGAGAAACAAGAAAAUGGACUCCUUCCUCCUGGAGACAAGAAUGCCAGCCACCAGCCAUGGCACUGAACAGUGCAGUGACUGGACAGGACAGCAGAAUGAGCUUUAUCCCACGUGAGCCUUUUUUUGGAACAGCACUCAGGAGUUCCACGCUGUUUGCCGAACCACAACUGUUGCUACAGAUGAUCAGCCUUGAAAGGAAUGGAAAAUCAAGGCUAAUAGGCAAUUUAGGAUCGGAGGACAUCCUCUGACCUAUCAUUACAGCCCAGGAAGAUGAACCAGUGGUUGUGGACGGAGGCUGGAAGACACCAUCGUCAGGACCUGGCUGGACCUGAGAGGAUCUGAAGGGGCAGAAGGACACAUGCAAAUACCUGGGACCCGCUCUGCUUGGCUCUCACAGGGUGUUGAUUCAGCUGGAGUUUGCAUCCCAGCAUCCCCUCCUCAGGGCUGUGUGUAUUUACUGAUUACCUGCCAUAUGCCUGGCCCCUUCAGAAUACAGGAAGAAAAUGGCCUUCAGUGGUGGCUGAGACAGAGCCUUGUGGGGUGCACACCUGGGAGUCCAAGGCCGCAAGAUGAGGCUUUCCUGACUCUGCCUCCUAGGGUGCUGAUGUUUCUAAGCUGGCAAGCUUGUUUUAUUCAUCCCUGUUUCUCUAGCCUGGAAUAGGCCAUAGAUGACAGUUAAUAAAUCUUUUGCGUGUGAGCAAAUGUGCAGAGUGUAUGCUAUAGAGAGUAAGGCCCCGUUGGAUCCCAGAGAGGCAGCCUGCCAGGUGCCCUGCCUCUCUGGUCCAUCUCCAGACAUCCCAGCCAGCAGGAGCAGACUUCCUCAGGAGGUACCUAGGGCUCUGGUCCAGCGGCAGCCAAUCAGGUACUGAAGACCAUCCUUUUUUCUUCUCCAAGUUAAAUAUCACUGGUUUCCAUGACUGUUUGUCCCAUAGCCCUCAGUAUUCGGAUUACCCAGUCUGGAGAGACAAUAAAAGUAUCCACACAUGGUCUAAAGAGGCAGAGCCAUGGAUGCAGAUGGCAAAUUUGGAUUAGUAUGCUUUGGCAGUCAGCAUAUUCAAGUUGUGGAUGGUGAUAUCUGCUGUCUUGGCCUCUGACAUGGUACUGGGUUGCUGCUGAGCAUCUUUCUUUCUUUGGUGUGCUCAUGGCCUUUAUAUAGACACUUUUUGGACAUAAAACCCCAAGCUGUAGCCCUUGUUAUCCAGUGUUAUAUUCCUCCUCAACUCUCCUGGAGACUCCCUGAGAGCUGGCUAAAGGUAGGCACUCCGUAGAUAUUAGCUGCUAUUAUUUACUUUAUUGGUUUUUUAAUUGAAUGAACAAUCAUGAACUUAUUGUCAUUUAUUGAGCAUGUCCUAUGUUUCAAGCACUGCUUGGUGUGGGAAUAUAGCAGUGAAUAGAAUAGGCCUGUUCUUGCCCCCCAGAACUUCCCAGACACUCCAGGAAGAUGUGAACUCAUUGCGACCCACACCACCUCCACCAGACAGUCAUUGAGUGCUCUCUGGUGUGUUCAACUCAGAAUAGAUCCUGGAGUUCCCGUCGUGGUGCAGUGGUUAACGAAUCCGACUAGGAACCAUGAGGUUGCGGGUUCGAUCCCUGCCCUUGCUCAGUGGAUUGAUGAUCCGGCGUUGCCGUGAGCUGUGGUGUAGGUUGCAGACUCGGCUCGGAUCCCGCAUUGCUGUGGCUCUGGCGUAGGCCGGUGGCUACAGCUCUGAUUCAACCCCUAGCCUGGGAACCUCCAUAUGCCACAGGAGCGGCCCAA
rnacentral:lncRNA from 1 species